rnacentral:lncRNA from 1 species
CUCAGAUGGAAAUGCAGAAAUCACCCGUCUUCUGCGUCGCUCACGCUGGGAGCUGUAGAGCGGAGCUGUUCCUAUUCGGCCAUCUUGGCUCCUCCGAGUGUGAUUUUGAAGAAAGGAGGAAAGAUGUGAAAAGUGAUUAGUCAGCCACAUUCAUGGUGUUGAGAAAAGAAUUUGCUUUUCUGGAACAUAGCCUGUGAUAGCAGAACAACACCUGGCAAGAAACAGGUUAUGUUUGGCUGGAGAGUCAUUGGCACUAUCAAGAAAUAUUAAAGUGUAGAUUUGAGAGAGGAGGAGAAAGACCCAAGCAAAAUUGAAAACCAGGUGGGACCCAGACAGCAGCAAAGCAAUGGAAGCAUGUAUUUUGGUCAAUAUAGAGUUAAUACACAAUUUUGCCCCUCUUCUUCUGAUCAUGGGACUCAUAUUACCAGUCUUCACAUUUCCUUUAAAUUCAGGAAUCAGGAAGAAUUUCCAGAGUUUGCAGAUAGGGACACAUUUGCUGCUUCCAUUCUAAACAUAAGUUAUAAGACAUUUUCAACUGGAUUCCAACUUUAAUAUGUCA